GUUGCUGCUGGGCUUACUGCAGCUCAGACACAGCAGAAGAGCCUAGAACCUGGGUCCUGGUUUGCACCUAGAAUAUGAGGCAAGUGGCAAGAGUGAUCGUGUUCCUGACCCUGAGUACUUGGAGCCUUGCUAAGACCACCCAGCCCAUCUCCAUGGACUCAUAUGAAGGACAGGAAGUGAACAUAUCCUGUAGCCAUGACAACAUUGCCACAAGUGAUUACAUCUUCUGGUACCAACAGUUUCCCAACCAGGGACCACGGUUUAUUAUUCAAGGAUAUAAGACAAACGUUGCAAAUGAAGUGGCCUCACUGUUUAUCCCUGCUGACAGAAAGUCCAGCACCCUGAGCCUGCCCCGGGUUGACCUGAGCGACACUGCUGUGUACUACUGCGUCGUGGGUGACACACAGUGAGACAGAUGGGCUUGCACCUGUACAGUUUUCCUCUGUGGGGUGGGAGUCACAGCCUAGAAAGAAGUCCAAAAAAUGCUUUGUGAGGUUUUUGUUUUCAAAAGAUAUUAGCAAAUGUAUGUAUUCUCCUAUUUAUAAAAUUGAUCUUAUUUAUUUUUAAAAUAGGUAUUUCAUUUACAUGAUCUAAAACUGAAAAAGUAUAAAAGGGCAUACCGCAUGAUGUCCUCCUUCCAUCAUGGUCCCUGAGUACUCAAUUAUCAAAGUGAGGUGUCUGUGGUAUCUAUACUAUUGUUGCUAAGUUCACUGGUACUCCUUAGUUUGUGUGUAUAGAUAAACACACACUACACGUAUUUUAUAUGCACACCACAUAUGGUCAACAUGGGUAAUAUACUUCUUACCUUUUGAAACAUUUAGCCUAAGUCAGGUUAUUAUUUAUUGCUGCACACAUUUGAACAUUUCUCUGGCCAUUUCCAAGUAUCUACAAGCUGGUUUCCAUGCACUCCGAGUUUAGAUUUCUCACUCUCUCUGUUGCCUGUCUUUCUCUUUUCUUUUGUCCCACUUCUCUGUUGUGCAUGGUAUGUAAUGGAAGAUGGACCUGAUGGUAGAGGAGGGGAUGGGAGAGAAUUUGUUUCUGAUUUGCAUUGUAGACUAUUUUUGCAACAUCUUAAUCAGAAACAUAGAGGUUCCGGGUCGUUAUUAGUUUUUAAAGUUGGGUUUUUUGAGGUCCCAAAGAGAUAAGAAUAACAGAAAAUUUACUGGGAGUCCUGCUUGUGUUCCUGCUGCUUCAUGAGGAUCAUGAAGUAUGUUUUUGUUUAUUUUUGGUUGAAAGUUUUCCCUGAUUUUGAUCAUAGGGAAAGCAGUAUUUGAUAAUAUUUUCUAUUGAGAAUAAGAUCAGGCUAUGCAGUGGGAGGCAGUUUCCAUCUAGUCCAUCUGAGGGUUUUGUUGAGAGUAGUAUUGUGGAAAGAAAACAAACAUUUGUAGGGUAUUACAGCAUAUACACUCAUCUCCUUUGGCUGACUUCUCUACACAGGGACAAGGAGACUGCAGAAAGUGGAGUCCUGGUCACCAAAUGUCCAGGAUGCAACUAAUUCUUCUCUGAAGUGCAUCACUAUUUCUAGUACUUCAUGUGGUACAGACAAUAUCCUCAAAAAAGGCUAGUGUUUCUGAUUUUCACAUUCUCAGUGGAGGAAAUGAGGAAGAGAUAUUAUAGCUCAUUUGAAUAAAGACAAUAAAUACACCUCUUUGCACAAAACAGACCCAAAGGCUGCAGACUCCGACACCUACAUCUUUGUGAGAAGCUCAGAGUGAUUCUAAAAUUCCUGGAUAGCCUCUGCCCAAAGCUGCACUCCUGUCAUGAGAGUUGAGAGAGUGGAGUAGAGGGACAUCUCUGUCAUGUUCCUGCCUAGUUAUGAAAAUCAAUACCCAUAUCUGAGAGGCCGUGUGGGAUUAUCUAAAGAAGAUAAUAUGCUAUUUUGUAGAUAAUUGAUCUGCAAAAGAAUUAA